GACGAACGCUGGCGGCGUGCUUAACACAUGCAAGUCGAACGGAAAGGCCCUGCUUUUGUGUGGUGCUCGAGUGGCGAACGGGUGAGUAACACGUGAGUAACCUGCCCUUUACUUUGGGAUAACUUCAGGAAACUGGGGCUAAUACCGGAUAGUAGCUCCUGCUGCAUGGUGUGGGUUGGAAAGUUUCGGCGGUUGGGGAUGGACUCGCGGCUUAUCAGCUUGUUGGUGGGGUAGUGGCUUACCAAGGCUUUGACGGGUAGCCGGCCUGAGAGGGUGACCGGCCACAUUGGGACUGAGAUACGGCCCAGACUACUACGGGAGGCAGCAGUGGGGAAUAUUGCACAAUGGGCGGAAGCCUGAUGCAGCAACGCCGCGUGAGGGAUGACGGCCUUCGGGUUGUAAACCGCUUUCGCCUGUGACGAAGCGUGAGUGAAGGUAAUGGGUAAAGAAGCACCGGCUAACUACGUG
rnacentral:rRNA from 1 species